UACGGACAUAUCACGUUCAAUUUACGGUUUUCGUAUGAUCACCGAAGUUAAGCAACGUCGUGCCUGGUCAGUACUUAGAUGGGAGACCGCAUUGGAAUACCAGGUGAUGUAAG